rnacentral:rRNA from 1 species
CAGUCGAACGAAGCGCCUGCGGCGGACCCCUCCGGGGGAAAGCCGCGGGGGACUGAGUGGCGGACGGGUGAGCAACGCGUGGGCAACCUGCCCCGUACCGGGGGACAACAGCCGGAAACGGCUGCUAAUACCGCAUAUUCCCGCGGGGCCGCAUGGCCCUGCGGGGAAAGCUCCGGCAGUACGGGAUGGGCCCGCGUCUGAUUAGCUUGUUGGCGGGGUAACGGCCCACCAAGGCUGCGAUCAGUAGCCGGCCUGAGAGGGCGGCCGGCCACAUUGGGACUGAGACACGGCCCAGACUCCUGCGGGAGGCAGCAGUGGGGGAUAUUGCACAAUGGGGGGAACCCUGAUGCAGCGACGCCGCGUGAACGAAGAAAUAUUUCGGUAUGUAAAGUUCUAUCAGCAGGGAAGAAAAUGACAGUACCUGACCAAGAAGCCCCGGCUAACUACGUGCCAGCAGCCGCGGUAAUACGUAGGGGGCGAGCGUUAUCCGGAUUCACUGGGCGUAAAGGGAGCGCAGGCGGCACGGCAAGUCCGGUGUGAAAGCCCGGGGCCCAACCCCGGGACUGCACUGGAAACUGCCGGGCUGGAGUGUCGGAGGGGCAGGCGGAAUUCCUAGUGUAGCGGUGAAAUGCGUAGAUAUUAGGAGGAACACCGGUGGCGAAGGCGGCCUGCUGGACGACGACUGACGCUGAGGCUCGAAAGCGUGGGGAGCAAACAGGAUUAGAUACCCUGGUAGUCCACGCCGUANACGAUGAAUACCAGGUGUCGGCGGGNACGGCCC